AUGACGCCCUUUUUCUCAGCACAUUCAAAUGGUACAUGAAAAGCAAGUCGGCACCAGAUGAAUCAGGAAGCACGAGAAUGGCGGAGGCAAAGAGCAACGAGACGAAACUACAGAAGCAAAGAAGCUGAGCAGAGUGGAGGUUAAGAUGGAAGGACAGAGGAGGAAGCAAGCUAAUGCUAUGUGAGGUUGAGAGCAGGAAGCUUGCAAGAAGCAGAGGGGUGAUGGGUUUGAAUUAUAAGGAGGGGGUGAGUGGGAAUUAUAUAUGUGGGGGUGGGGAUCGGGAAGUCUGACUUUUUGACUGGAGAGAAACCGAGUUUUUCAGCAGUUGGACUGGUCUUUGGUCAGACAAUAGUGGAGUGGAGAGUGAGGAAGGUCCAAAUGUUGACCGAUUCAACUCCUUGAACUUGUAGAACGGGGGGGAAGGUUUUCUUUUUGGUUAUUGCCUUUUCCCUAUUGAUUUCUCCUUGAUUUUUCCA